UCGAGAAUAAUUCGCAAUGGACGAAAGUCUGACGAUGCGACGCCGCCUGAACGAUGAAGGCCUUCGGGUUGUAACGUUCUGUUGCCCUAGAACAAGAGUGACUGACGAAUAGGUGGUCACGAUGAGGGUAUAGGGAGAGGAAGCACCGGCUAAUUCCGUGCCAGCAGCUGCGGUAAUACGGAAGGUGCAAGCGUUAGUUGGAAUUACUGGGCGUAAAGGGUGCGUAGGCGGGAAUGUAAGUCGGUUGGGAAAUUCCGAAGCUCAACUUCGGAGCUGCAAUCGAAACUAC
rnacentral:rRNA from 1 species